UGAGAAAUAGCUCAGUGGGUAGAGUACAUGCCCUGCCAUUCACGAAGCCCCAGGUUCAAUCCCUGGUACCACAU
rnacentral:tRNA from 1 species